GUGCUUGUUUUGAAAGCACAUAUGCUAAAAUUGGAAUGAUACAAAGAUUAGCAUGGCCACUGUGCAAGUAUAAUAUACAAAGUCAUGAAGAGUUUCAUAUUUUU